ensembl:lncRNA
UGCAGUGGACGACUUACAAGCAAAGAAAUACUAUAGACAGGAGCAGAAAAUCAGCAUCACCAUGAUCGCAAAGAUGUUUGUCAUCGUUCUUCUUGUUGUUGCCUGCUGCAACGCAGCGACAACAACCACAUCUGCAGCGACAACAACCACAUCUGCAGCGACAACAACCACAGCUACAGGGACAACAACCACAGCUGCACCAACAACAACCACAAGUGCUGCGACAACAACCACAGCUGCUCCAACAACCACAACUGCUGCGACAACAACCACAGCUGCUCCAACAACAAUCACAACUGCUGCGACAACAACCAAAACUGCUCCAACAACAACCACAACUGCUGCUCCAACAACCACAGCUGUUCCAACAACAACCACAACUGCAGCGACAACAACCACAGCUGCUCCAACAACAACCACAACUGCAGCGACAACAACCACAACUGCCCCAACAACAACCACAACUGCAGCGACAACAACCACAGCUGUUCCAACAACAACCACAACUGCAGCGACAACAACCACAGCUGUUCCAACAACAACCACAACUGCAGCGACAACAACCACAGCUGCUCCAACAACAACCACAACUGCUGCGACAACAACCACAGCUUCUCCAACAACAACCACAUCUGUAGCGACAACAACUACAGCUGCUUCAACAACAACCACAACUGUUCCAACAACAACCAAAACUGCCGCGACAACAACUACAGCUGCUUCAACAACCAUAACUGCAGCGACAGCAACAACCACCUCCUCUGCUAUUCUCAACAACAUCAGCUUCCUUACAGUAGUUCUGGCUCUGUCGUCACAUGUACUCAGAUCAUGUUUUUAACAUUUCUUAAGUUCACAUCCUCCAAAUGAAGCAACAAACUGAAGUACCUGUGACCAUUUGAAAUGUUUAAGUAACCAAAUGUUUAAUCAUAUAUUUAUUCUUAUUUAUUAUGGUUUUAUUUAUUUAUUUAUAUCUAUCAGAGAGAAGUUGUUAAAUGUUUUCCUGAUGUUUGUGUGUUCCAAACUUGUGUGAUCAGAGGACUGAUAUUAAAAAUUUAGUGAUGUCUACAAUCUCAACACUGAGCUUAUCAUAAAUAAAGUCUUUUUGCACUGAUUAAUAA